rnacentral:rRNA from 1 species
UACGGGGGGGGGCAAGCGUUUGUUCGGAAUUACUGGGCGUAAAGGGCGCGUAGGCGGUCAGAUAAGUCAGCUGUGAAAACCUCGGGCUUAACCCGAGCCUGCAGUUGAAACUGUUUGGCUGGAGUGUGGGAGAGGAGAGUGGAAUUCCCGGUGUAGCGGUGAAAUUCGUAGAUAUUCGCAAGAACACCAGUGGCGAAGGCGGCUCACUGGCCCGAUACUGACGCUGAGGCACGAAAGCGUGGGGAGCAAACAGG